CAGGAGGAAGUUUUGUGUGCAGAUGCCUUUCUCCAAAAUUUUGCCUCCCGCAGCUCAUGAUCCUCUCUAUAAAUUCCACACAAGUUUUGUAUCAACCUCUGCCCAGAAUUUAAACUUGCAUGUGAACCUAUUUUCAGAGCUGCCUCCAGUUGAAACAACUGAACAAAAUAGAAAAUUGGAUGCUGUGGAGAGGCUUGUCCACCUAUGAUAAGUGAAAUCAAUGAUAGAAAAUACAAGAGACAAUACAGACAGGUGCGCCAUUUUUCAUAUAACAUUGAG